rnacentral:rRNA from 1 species
CCUACGGGGGGCAGCAGUGAGGAAUAUUGGUCAAUGGACGCAAGUCUGAACCAGCCAUGCCGCGUGCAGGAAGACGGCUCUAUGAGUUGUAAACUGCUUUUGUACGAGGGUAAACGCAGAUACGCGUAUCUGUCUGAAAGUAUCGUACGAAUAAGGAUCGGCUAACUCCGUGCCAGCAGCCGCGGUAAUAUGGAGGAUUCAAGCGUUAUCCGGAUUUAGUGGGUUUAAAGGGUGCGUAGGCGGGCGGAUAAGUUAGAGGUGAAAUCCCGAGGCUCAACUUCGGAAUUGCCUCUGAUACUGUUCGGCUAGAGAGUAGUGGCGGUAGGCGGAAUGUAUGGUGUAGCGGUGAAAUGCUUAGAGAUCAGACAGAACACCGAUUGCGAAGGCAGCUUACCAAGCUACUUCUGACGUUGAGGCACGAAAGCGUGGGGAGCAAACAGGAUUAGAUACCCCGGUAGUC